CAACGAACUUCGGGUUAGUGGCGGACGGGUGAGUAACGCGUGAGAAUCUGCCCUCAGGAGGGGGAUAACGGUUGGAAACGACCGCUAAUACCCCAUAUGCCGCGAGGUGAAAUGAAUUUCGCCUGAGGAUGAGCUCGCGUCUGAUUAGUUAGUUGGUGGGGUAAAGGCCUACCAAGACAUCGAUCAGUAGCUGGUCUGAGAGGAUGAUCAGCCACACUGGGACUGAGACACGGCCCAGACUCCUACGGGAGGCAGCAGUGGGGAAUUUUCCGCAAUGGGCGAAAGCCUGACGGAGCAACGCCGCGUGAGGGAUGAAGGCCUCUGGGCUGUAAACCUCUUUUAUCAAGGAAGAAGAUCUGACGGUACUUGAUGAAUAAGCCACGGCUAAUUCCGUGCCAGCAGCCGCGGUAAUACGGGAGUGGCAAGCGUUAUCCGGAAUUAUUGGGCGUAAAGCGUCCGCAGGCGGUCUGUCAAGUCUGCUGUUAAAGCGUGGAGCUUAACUCCAUUUCGGCAGUGGAAACUGACAGACUAGAGUGUGGUAGGGGCAGAGGGAAUUCCCGGUGUAGCGGUGAAA
rnacentral:rRNA from 1 species